rnacentral:lncRNA from 1 species
UGGAGAGUGGGAGAAAAGGUCUUGAUGAAGGAGCAAAACCUUGGCAUCAGCCGUGCACACGGCCCUGGGAUCUUUGCCAGCUCCCCACCACUGCUGCUGCAGGGUUUCUUGUUGACCCUAGGGGCUAGCCCCUUCCAUUAUAGAAUAACAACAGUUGUCAGAAAGCCAUUUCUCAUAUUUACCCAACAUUCACUUUUCUAUAGAUCCUAAAGGCCCUGGUAUUUUCUCAGGUGCAAUGCAGAUGAUUCUUCAUUCAUUCAUCCAUGUGCACCUCUUUGUCUGUUUGUUCCUUGUUCAAUAAAUAUUAUGUCAAUGCCUGCUGAUAUGGUUUGGCUGUGUCCCCACCCAAAUCUCAUUUUGAAAUGUAAUAAUCCCCAUGUGUCAAGGGUGGGGCCAGGUGGAGAUAAUUGAAUCAUGGGGGCAGUUUCCGCCCUACUCUUCUCAUGGGAGUGAAUAAGUCUCAUGAGAUCUGAUGGUUUUAUAAAUGGGAAUUCUCCUGCACAAGCUCUCUUGCCUGCUGCCAUGUAAGAUGUGUCUUGCUUUCCCCUUUGUCUUUCGUCAUGAAUGUGAACUGUGAGCCAAUUGCACCUCUUUCCUGCCCAGCGUGGUGGCUCAUACCUGUAAUCCCAGCACUUUGGGAGGCCGAGGUGGGUGAAUCACCUGAGGUCAGGAGUUCAAGUCCAGUCUGACCAACAUAGUGAAACCCCCUCUCUACUAAAAAUACAAAAUUAGCCAGGUAUGGUGACACAUGCCUGUAAUCCCAGCUACUUGGGAGGCUGGGGCAGGAGAAUUACUUGAACCCAGGUGGUGGAGGUUGUAGUGAGCCUAGAUCACGUCACUGCAUUCCAGCCUGGGCAACAAGAGCGAAACUCCAUCUCAAGAAGAAAAAAAAAAAACAGAAAAACAAACAGAAAAAGUCUUUCCUUUAUAAUAAUUACCCAGUCCCAGGUAUGUCUUUAUUAGCGGCAUGAGAACAGACUAAUACACCUACUGUGUGCUGGCUGAGGUUCUCAACGUUGUGCUGGGCACCAGGGAAUAUAAAACAGUAAGACUCAGUCUCUCCUCUUGAGGAGCUCAGAAUGGAUGUGGCCGGGGAAUGACAAAAUGCUAUGAUGUACAAAUGUGAACAAUUAGAAUUUGUACAAAGAAAGGAAGUUUGGAUUAAUGCUGUCAGAGUGCAAGAGCUUGGGGAUUCUUCAUGGAAAAGAUGAUGCCAGAGAAGAGCUUUGAAGAAGGAAAAGGGUGUUUUCUAGGCAAACUCAAGUGGAGUUGAAUUAGGAGAGAAGUGCGAAGACAUGACGGAUGGAUGGAAUGACACAGGCCAAAGAAUGGAGUUAGGAACGAUGUGCUGUGCUUGGGAGCUGCAAGUUCUGCUGACGGGUGGAGAGUAAGGCCAGGUGUGAGAGGAAACAAGCCAGAUGGGGGAGCGGGAUGGUCACAUAGGCUUUGAAUGCUGAGAUAGGAGGGUUUAUUGAG